UACGUAGGUGGCAAGCGUUGUCCGGAUUUAUUGGGUUUAAAGGGUGCGUAGGCGGCCCUGUAAGUCAGUGCUGAAAUAUCCCGGCUUAACCGGGAGGGUGGCAUUGAUACUGCAGGGCUUGAGUACAGAUGAAGUAGGCGGAAUUGACGGUGUAGCGGUGAAAUGCAUAGAUAUCGUCAAGAACACCGAUAGCGAAGGCAGCUUACUAAGCUGUAACUGACGCUGAGGCACGAAAAGUGUGGGGGAUCAAACAGGG
rnacentral:rRNA from 1 species